UCCGGUUGAUCCUGCCGAAGGCUACUGCUAUUGGAGUUCGAUUAAGCCAUGCGAGUCUAAGGGAUACUUGUAUCCCUGGCAUAAUGCUCAGUAACACGUGGAUAAUCUGCCCUCAGGUGAGGAAUAAACCCGGGAAACUGGGGCUAAUACCUCAUAGACACAGAAAGCUGGAAUGCUUCUGUGUUCAAAGCUCCGGCGCCUGAGGAUGAGUCUGCGGCCUAUCAGGUUGUAGUCAGGGUCAUGACCUGACUAGCCAACGACGGGUACGGGGUGUGAGAGCACUUGCCCGGAGAUGGUUUCUGAGACACGAAACCAGGCCCUACGGGGCGCAGCAGGCGCGAAAACUUCGCAAUGCGGGAAACCGUGACGAGGGAACUCCAAGUGUCUAUGCAUUGCAUAGACUGUUUUUUAGCCUAAAUAGCUAAAAGAGUAAGAGGUGGGCAAGACCGGUGCCAGCCGCCGCGGUAACACCGGCACCUCGAGUGGUAGCCACUAUUAUUGGGCCUAAAGCGUUCGUAGCCGGUUUGGUAAAUUCUUGGGUAAAUCGUACAGCUUAACUGUGCGGAUUCCGGGGACACUACCAGACUUGAGACCGGGAGAGAUCAGAGGUACUUGUAGGGGAGCGGUGAAAUGUUGUAAUCCUACAGGGACCACCAGUGGCGAAGGCGUCUGAUCAUAACGGCUUUGACGGUGAGGAACGAAACCCUGGGGCGCAAACGGGAUUAGAUACCCCGGUAGUCCAGGGCGUAAACGCUGCUGACUUGGUGUUGGAGAUCCUACGAGGGUGUCCAGUGCUGGCGCGAAGGCAUUUAGUCAGCCGCCUGGGGAGUACGGUCGCAAGACUGAAACUUAAAGGAAUUGGCGGGGGAGCACUGCAACGUGUGGAGCGUGCGGUUUAAUUGGAGUCAACGCCGGG
rnacentral:rRNA from 1 species